rnacentral:rRNA from 1 species
GACGAACGCUGGCGGCGUGCUUAACACAUGCAAGUCGAACGGAAAGGCCCUGCCUUUGUGGGGUGCUCGAGUGGCGAACGGGUGAGUAACACGUGAGUAACCUGCCCUUGACUUUGGGAUAACUUCAGGAAACUGGGGCUAAUACCGGAUAGGAGCUCCUGCUGCAUGGUGGGGGUUGGAAAGUUUCGGCGGUUGGGGAUGGACUCGCGGCUUAUCAGCUUGUUGGUGGGGUAGUGGCUUACCAAGGCUUUGACGGGUAGCCGGCCUGAGAGGGUGACCGGCCACAUUGGGACUGAGAUACGGCCCAGACUCCUACGGGAGGCAGCAGUGGGGAAUAUUGCACAAUGGGCGGAAGCCUGAUGCAGCAACGCCGCGUGCGGGAUGACGGCCUCCGGGUUGUAAACCGCUUUCGCCUGUGACGAAGCGUGAGUGACGGUAAUGGGUAAAGAAGCACCGGCUAACUACGU